UUCUAGCCCUGAUCGCAGCGGCAUCCUUUUUUGCCAUGAGAUUGCUUUGUUCUUUGCAAUGAUUUUCUGGCAAAAAAGAUACAGCGGAGAGCAGGAUUAAGC
rnacentral:sRNA from 2 species